GCCCUCGUAGCUCAGCGGAAGAGCACCCGGUUCCUACCCGGGGUUUGUCGUGCGUUCGAAUCGCAUCGUAGGGC
rnacentral:tRNA from 1 species